rnacentral:rRNA from 1 species
GAGAAGCUUGCUGGAGGUAUCAGAAGUGCGAAUGCUGACAUGAGUAACGACAAUGGGUGUGAAAAACACCCACGCCGAAAGACCAAGGUUUCCUGCGCAACGUUAAUCGACGCAGGGUUAGUCGGUCCCUAAGGCGAGGCUGAAAAGCGUAGUCGAUGGAAAACAGGUUAAUAUUCCUGUACUUCUGGUUAUUGCGAUGGAGGGACGGAGAAGGCUAGGCCAGCUUGGCGUUGGUUGUCCAAGUUUAAGGUGGUAGGCUGAAAUCUUAGGUAAAUCCGGGGUUUCAAGGCCGAGAGCUGAUGACGAGUUACCCUCUGGGUGACGAAGUGGUUGAUGCCAUGCUUCCAAGAAAAGCUUCUAAGCUUCAGAUAACCAGGAACCGUACCCCAAACCGACACAGGUGGUUGGGUAGAGAAUACCAAGGCGCUUGAGAGAACUCGGGUGAAGGAACUAGGCAAAAUG